GGAUUCCCCUAGUAACUGCGAGUGAAGCGGGAAAAGCUCAAAUUUAAAAGCUGGCAGUCUUUGAUUGUCCGCAUUGUAAUCUAGAGAAGUGUUUACCCGCGUUGGACCGUGUAUAAGUCUCCUGGAAUGGAGCGUCAUAGAGGGUGACAAUCCCGUCUUUGACACGGAUAACCAAGGCAUUUGUGGUACGCUCUCAAAGAGUCGAGUUGUUUGGGAAUGCAGCUCAAAAUGGGUGGUAAAUUCCAUCUAAAGCUAAAUAUUGGCGAGAGACCGAUAGCGAACAAGUACCGUGAGGGAAAGAUGAAAAGAACUUUGGAAAGAGAGUUAAACAGUACGUGAAAUUGCUGAAAGGGAAACGCUUGAAGUCAGUCGCAUUGGCUAGAGAUCAGCCUGGCUUUUGCUGGGUGUAUUGUCUGGUUAAUGGGUCAGCAUCAGUUUUAGUCAUUGGAAAAGGUUGGAGGAAAUGUGGCAUCUUCGGAUGUGUUAUAGUCUUUCAUCAUAUACAGUGACUAGGACUGAGGAACUCAGCACGCCGCAAGGCCGGGAUUUUAUCCACGUUCGUGCUUAGGAUGCUGGCAUAAUGGCUUUAAUCGACCCGUCUUGAAACACGGACCAAGGAGUCUAACAUACCUGCAAGUGUUUGGGUGGCAAACCCGAGCGCGUAAUGAAAGUGAAAGUUGAGAUCCCUGUUAUGGGGGAA
rnacentral:rRNA from 1 species